GUGAGUUUCGUAGAGUUUAAAGCUCACACUUUGCUCGCCAACAAGCGCACGCGAAAGCUCUACCCAAACUCACUAUGA
rnacentral:pre_miRNA from 1 species